rnacentral:lncRNA from 1 species
UGUAUUUUUUAAAUAUAAUUCCCAAAAAUUCUAUUUUAGGAAAGUUUUCAUUUUUUCAUAGAAAUAUUGUAGAUUUGGGGUUGUGGUUUAGAAAUUAGGAUAACAAGAAUUUUUGUUGAUAGAUGAGUAUUUUUUUAAUUAUUUGAUCAAUAAGUUGUAUUUUUUAAAAAUAAUUCUCAAAAAUUCUAUUUUAGGAAAGUUUUCAUUUUUACUUAAAAAUAUUGUAGAUUUGGAGUUGUGGUUUAGAAAUUAGGAUAACAAGAAUUUUUGUUGAUACAUGAGUAUUCUUUUAGAUUUUUUGAUCAAUAGUUGUAUUUUUUAAAUAUAAUUCUCAAAAAUUCUAUUUUAGGAAAGUUUUCAUUUUUUCAUAGAAAUAUUUUAGAUUUGGGGUUGUGGUUUAAUAAUUAGGAUAACAAGAAUUUUUGUUGAUAGAUGAGUAUUUUUUUAAUUAUUUGAUCAAUAAGUUGUAUAUUUUAAAAAUAAUUCUCAAUAAUUCUAUUUUAGGAAAGUUUUCAUUUUUUCAUAGAAAUAUUGUAGAUUUGAGGUUUUGGUUUAAAAAUUAGGAUAACAAAAAAUUUUGUUGAUAGAUGAGUAUUUUUUUAGAUUUUUUUAUCAAUAGGUUGUAUAUUUUAGAUAAAUUCUGGAAAUUUCUAAUUUAGGAAAGUUUUCAUUUUUUUAUAGAAAUAUUGUAGAUUUGGGGUUGUGAUUUAGAAAUUAGCAUAACACGAAUUUUUGUUGAUAGAUGAGUAUUCUUUUAGAUUUUUUGAUCAAUAGUUGUAUUUUUAAAAUAUAAUUCUCAAAAAUUCUAUUUUAGGAAAGUUUUCAUUUUUUCAUAGAAAUAUUGUAGAUUUGGGGUUGUGGUUUAGAAAUUAGGAUGACAAGAAUUUUUGUUGAUAGAUGAGUAUUCUUUUAGAUUUUUUGAUCAAUAGUUGUAUUUUUUAAAUAUAAUUCUCAAAAAUUCUAUUUUAGGAAAGUUUUCAUUUUUUCAUAAAAAUAUUGUAGAUUUUGGGUUGUGGUUUAGAAAUUAGGAUAACAAGAAUUUUUGUUGAUAGAUGAAUAUUUUUUUAAAUUUUUUGAUCAAUAAAUUGGUUUUUUUUGAAAUAAUUCUCAAAAAUUCUAUUUUAGGAAAAUUUACAUUUUUUAUAUAAAUAUUGUAGAUUUGGGGUUUGUGGUUUAGAAAUUAGGAUAACAAGAAUUUUUGUUCAUAGAUGAGUAUUCUUUUAGAUUUUUUGAUCAAUAGUUGUAUUUUUUAAAUAUAAUUCUCAAAAAUUCUAUUUUACGAAAGUUUUCAUUUUUUCAUAGAAAUAUUGUAGAUUUGGGGUUGUGGUUUAGACAUUAGGAUAACAAGAAUUUUUGUUGAUAGAUGAGUAUUUUUUUAAAUUUUUUGAUCAAUAGUUGUAUUUUUUAAAUAUAAUUCCCAAAAAUUCUAUUUUACCAAAGUUUUCAUUUUUUCAUAGAAAUAUUGUAGAUUUGGGAUUGUGAUUUAGAAAUUAGGAUAACAAGAAUUUUUGUUGAUAGAUGAGUAUUUUUUUAUAUUUUUUUAUCAAUAAGUUGUAUUUUUUAAAUAUAAUUCUCAAAAAUUCAGAGCGACGUCAUAGGCGAUUUUCUCAAAACCACCACCAGACUCGUUUCUUCACCGGGAUUUUUCGUUGCCGGCGGCUUUGGCCGUCGGAGUCUCUUUGUUUUCUUUAUAUUUAGUAGUAAUAGUUAAUAAAACCAAUUGAUGUUGGAUUGGACAUCAAAUCAUUCGAUUUGGGAACAUCCAAAUCGCGUUAUUUUUCUGUCUCGCCAUUUAAGAUCACCAUGUUCUCUUCUUCAGACAGUCAUUAGGAUUCGGGCGAGAAGAUUAUAUGAUUUUCGAACGGUUGGCGUGCGUCUUUUCUCCCAACGGGAGCGUUAUUCUCCGGUACUGGGUUUCGUAGAUUUACGGAGUUGCUGGACCGAUGGCUUUCCCUUGCACAUAUUGCAAGUUUGUUUAAUCUCUCAAUCUCGAUUUGUUCACACAAUGAAUCGACAUAAAAAGCUGCCCUGGCCUGGGGAUCACAGAGGAUUGGCGCACAAACUAAAAUUGGAAUUGAAGAUAUGGAUUCAAGGUAUUGUUCUUUUGGAUAUGGCUGGAAUAAGAUACGACAGUGAUGAUUUUGUGAGGACGAUAGUGCUAGUUUGUGGUGGGUCCAUCUGGCAACAAGGAUCAAUACAAAAUCAUGGUAAAUAUUUAUACUUCAGUCUCUCCUCACUUGGAGACAGCGUUUCACCAAAAAAUGAAAAAUGGGAGGAGUCUGGUAAUGGCCAAUAUGAAGGAAAUAGUGUUCUGAAACGGCGUCCAAUGGUUAUAUUACAACAUCAACACAAUGUGGAGUACUUUAGUUAUUGUGUUUGUUGGUUUCAAAUCAGGAGAAAACGUAGAUCAUGGAGAGUUAAGACAAUAACAACACAUGUUAUCUCCUGCAGCGGGAGUGUAUGGGACGGAUUGAGAUGUAACAGAUGGAUCCAAUCCAAUGAUCUUCGAAAAGAAAAGAGGCUUUUGGUCACAAUGUAUGACAGCCAACAAGAUCAUUUAAGACCGAGAACGAAGAUGGAUAAAGUUAGCGUAUCAGCCUAUUCUACGGAUGAGUUAGAUAGCAACGUGUUAUUACUAUUCCAAUUUCAAAAUCUUCUUAAAAAUGUGUUGUUUAUCUCUUAUGUUUCAUGUAAACAUUUGAACCCAUUUUGAUAUCAAUAAAAUAGUUUGUCGUUAAAAAAAAAAAAAUUCUCAAAAAUUCUAUUUAAGGAAAGUUUUCAUUUAUUCAUAGAAAUAUUGUAGAUCUGGGGUUGUGGUUUAGAUAUUAGGAUAACAAGAAUUUUUGUUAAUAAAUAAGUAUUCUUUUAGAUUUUUUGAUCAAUUGUUGUAUUUUUUAAAUAUAAUUCUCAAAAAUUCUAUUUUAGGAAAGUAUUCAUUUUUACAUAGAAAUAUUGUAGAUUUGGGGUUGUGGUUUUGUAAUUAGGAUAACAAGAAUUUUUGUUGAUAGAUGAGUAUUUUUUUAAAUUAUUUUAUCAAUAAGUUGUAUUUUUUAAAAAUAAUUCUCAAAAAUUCUAUUUUAGGAAAGUUUUCAUUUUUACUUAAAAAUAUUGUAGAUUUGGAGUUGUGGUUUAGUAAUUAGGAUAACAAGAAUUUUUGUUGAUAGAUGAGUAUUCUUUUAGAUUUUUUAAUCAAUAGUUGUAUUUUUUAAAUAUAAUUCCCAAAAAUUCUAUUUUCGAAAAGUUUUCAUUUUUUCAUAGAAAUAUUGUAGAUUUGGGGUUGUGGUUUAGAAAUUAGGAUAAAAAGAAUUUUUGUUGAUAGAUGAGUAUUUUUUAAAUGAUUUGAUCAAUAAGUUGUAUUUUUUAAAAAUAAUUCUCAAAAAUUCUAUUUUAGGAAAGUUUUCAUUUUUACUUAAAAAUAUUGUAGAUUUGGAGUUGUGGUUUAGAAAUUAGGAUAACAAGAAUUUUUGUUGAUAGAUGAGUAUUCUUUAGAUUUUUUGAUCAAUAGUUGUAUUUUUACAAUAUAAUUCUCAAAAAUUCUAUUUUAGGAAAGUUUUCAUUUUUUAUAGAAAUAUUGUAGAUUUGGGGUUGUGGUUUAGAAAUUAGGAUAACCAGAAUUUUUGUUGAUAGAUGAGUAUUUUUUUAGAUUUUUUGAUCAAUAGUUGUAUUUUUUAAAUAUAAUUCCCAAAAAUUCUAUUUUAGGAAAGUUUUCAUUUUUUCAUAGAAAUAUUGUAGAUUUGGGGUUGUGGUUUAGAAAUUAGGAUAACAAGAACUUUUGUUGAUAGAUGAGUAUUCUUUUAGAUUUUUUGAUCAAUAGUUGUAUUUUUUAAAAUAUAAUUCUCAAAAAUUCUAUUUUAGGAAAGUUUUCAUUUUUCAUAGAAAUAUUGUAGAUUUGGGGUUGUGGUUUAGAAAUUAGGAUAACAAGAAUUUUUGUUGAUAGAUGAGUAUUUUUUUAAUUUUUUGAUCAAUAAGUUACAUUUUUAAAAAAUAAUUCUCAAAAAUUCUAUUUUAGGAAAGUUUUCAUUUUUUAUUGAAAUAUUGUAGAUUUGGGGUUGUGAUUUAGAAAUUAGGAUAAUAAUAAUUUUUGUUGAUAGGUGAGUAUUCUUUUAGAUUUUUUGAUCAAUAGUUGUAUUUUUUAAAUAUAAUUCUCAAAAAUUCUAUUUUAGGAAAGUUUUCAUUUUUUCAUAGAAAUAUUGUAGAUUUGGGGUUGUGGUUUAGAAAUUAGGAUAACAAGAAUUUUUUGUUGAUAGAUGAGCUUUCUUUUAGAUUUUUUUAUCUAUAGUUGUAUUUUUUAAAUAUAAUUCCCAAAAAUUCUAUCUUAGGAAAGUUUUCAUUUUUUCAUAGAAAUAUUGUAGAUUUAGGGUCGUGGUUUAGAAAUUAGGAUAACCAAAAAAAUUUUUGAUAGAUGAGUAUUUUUUUAGAUUUUUUUAUCAAUAGGUUGUAUAUUUUAGAUAAAUUCAGAAAAUUUCUAUUUUAGGAAAGUUUUCAUUUUUUUUAUAGAAAUAUUGUAGAUUUGGGGUUGUGAUUUAGAAAUUACCAUAACAAGAAUUUUUGUUGAUAGAUGAGUAUUCUUUUAGAUUUUUUGAUCAAUAGUUGUAUUUUUUAAAAAUAAUUUUCAAAAAUUCUAUUUUAGGAAAGUUCUCAUUUUUUAUAGAAAUAUUGUAGAUUUGGGGUUGUGAUUUAGAAAUUAGGAUAAAAAUAAUUUUUGUUGAUAGGUGAGUAUUCUUUUAGAUUUUUUGAUCAAUAGUUGUAUUUUUUAAAUAUAAUUCUCAAAUAUUCUAUUUUAGGAAAGUUUUCAUUUUUUCAUAGAAAUAUUGUAGAUUUGGGGUUGUGAUUUAGAAAUUAGGAUAAUAAUAAUUUUUGUUGAUAGGUGAGUAUUCUUUUAGAUUUUUUGAUCAAUAGUUGUAUUUUUUAAAUAUAAUUCUCAAAAAUUCUAUUUUAGGAAAGUUUUCAUUUUUUCAUAGAAAUAUUGUAGAUUUGGGGUUGCGGUUUAGAAAUUAGGAUAACAAGAAUUUUUGUUGAGAGAUGAGUAUUCUUUAGAUUUUUUGAUCAAUAGUUGUAUUUUUUAAAUAUUAUUCUCAAAAAUUCUAUUUUAGAAAAGUUUUUAUUUCUUCAUAGAAAUAUUGUAGAUUUAGGGUCGUGGUUUAGUAAUUAGGAUAACAAGAAUUUUUGUUGAAAGAU